rnacentral:rRNA from 1 species
GCAAAGAGUGGCGAACGGGUGAGUAACACGUGGGAAACCUACCUCUUAGCAGGGGAUAACAUUUGGAAACAGAUGCUAAUACCGUAUAACAAUAGCAACCGCAUGGUUGCUACUUAAAAGAUGGUUCUGCUAUCACUAAGAGAUGGUCCCGCGGUGCAUUAGUUAGUUGGUGAGGUAAUGGCUCACCAAGACGAUGAUGCAUAGCCGAGUUGAGAGACUGAUCGGCCACAAUGGGACUGAGACACGGCCCAUACUCCUACGGGAGGCAGCAGUAGGGAAUCUUCCACAAUGGGCGAAAGCCUGAUGGAGCAACGCCGCGUGUGUGAUGAAGGGUUUCGGCUCGUAAAACACUGUUGUAAGAGAAGAAUGACAUUGAGAGUAACUGUUCAAUGUGUGACGGUAUCUUACCAGAAAGGAACGGCUAAAUACGUGCCAGCAGCCGCGGUAAUACGUAUGUUCCAAGCGUUAUCCGGAUUUAUUGGGCGUAAAGCGAGCGCAGACGGUUAUUUAAGUCUGAAGUGAAAGCCCUCAGCUCAACUGAGGAAUUGCUUUGGAAACUGGAUGACUUGAGUGCAGUAGAGGAAAGUGGAACUCCAUGUGUAGCGGUGAAAUGCGUAGAUAUAUGGAAGAACACCAGUGGCGAACGCGGCUUUCUGGACUGUAACUGACGUUGAGGCUCGAAAGUGUGGGUAGCAAACAGGAUUAGAUACCCUGGUAGUCCACAGCGUAACGAUGAGUGCUAGGUGUUUGAGGGUUUCCGCCCUUAAGUGCCGC